UACAGAGGUCCCGAGCGUUGUUCGGAUUCACUGGGCGUAAAGGGCGCGUAGGCGGCUUUGUAAGUCGGGGGUGAAAGCCUGUGGCUCAACCACAGAAUUGCCUUCGAUACUGCAUGGCUUGAGACCGGAAGAGGUAAGUGGAACUGCGAGUGUAGAGGUGAAAUUCGUAGAUAUUCGCAAGAACACCAGUGGCGAAGGCGGCUUACUGGUCCGGUUCUGACGCUGAGGCGCGAAAGCGUGGGGAGCAA
rnacentral:rRNA from 1 species